CACAGAAGGUGAACCUCACAGAAGGUGAAACGGCUCUGGCAGCCCAGCCUGGCCCCGAGGGCAUCUCAAGGGGGUGCUGUUCCUAACUCAGGGAGUCCCAGUCCCAUGGCCCCGGCAUACAGCCGGGCCUCCUGCUCCCUGGUCACAGGCUCCUGCAGUACCAGUGCGAGUGAGCAGCUGUAUCCCUGUUCCUCACUCACCCCAACGCCAGCCAGGCUGACAGCGUCUUCUCAGGGAGCCUGUCCUGCCAAGACGAUGGCCACAAAGGGACCCAGACGAGUGGCCCAGCCCCAACCCACAGAGAGGACGCAUGACGGCGAGGUCAAGGUUGAUCUGGGGUGAUGUCCCGUGGUGAGGACGGUACAUACUCUCCAAACAGC
rnacentral:lncRNA from 1 species